rnacentral:lncRNA from 1 species
GAGAAAUUUUUCUGCAAGAUACAAGUAACUUUGAGAUAUAUCAAAGAAUUAACAGUACUAUACAGCAUUAGAGUUGCAAGACAGGAAAAGUACAGCAAAAUAUCGGCAUUUGAACUUUAGUUAAUUUACUGUAAUUUGUGGUGCCUAUUGCAAGACAGAAAAGAAUACUGAUGUUUAGUUUGAACACGUUGCUGAAUACUGCGACGGCCUAAUUCUGGUGAAUGCGGCGAUUGUGUUAUUUAUGAAAUGUUAGUGCAGCAUCAAGACUUGCUUCAUUCUUGGAAACUGAUUAUAUUGUACUGAAGACACGAACUUGCAAUCUUAUUACAAUCAAAAAGAAACCAGAAAACUAUUAUAAUUUAUUAAUAUAGGCCUGGCAGAGCUGUUAAUUUAUUGUAUAAUGAAUUGGUGAAGGAAAACAUACAGUGAUUUUAUUAUUUAUGUAAUGUUAUUGCAGCAUCAAGACAACUUACUUCAUUCUCAAAAACUGAUUAUAUUGUACAAAAAAUGAAUUUACAGUCUUAUUACAAUCAAAGAGGAACCAGAAAACUACUAUAAUUUAUUAAUACAGGGCCUAGCACAGCAUUUAAUUUUCUGUAUAAUGAAUUGAUAAUGCCUAAUAAUUUACAGUAUGUAAUGAAUUUGGUUAUGAUGUUAAUAAAAAAUACAAGUAGUGCUGUUUU